AAGUCGUAACAAGGUUUCCGUAGGUGAACCUGCGGAAGGAUCAUUAACGAGUAAACAAGGGAGUUGUAGCUGGCCGCAAGGCAUGUGCACGCUCUCUACUCAAUCCAACCUUACACCUGUGCACCUAUUGUAGGUCGAGUGGCUGGACUUGUUCUGGCCGCUCUUCCUAUGUUUUACACAUACACUUGUAGUCUCAGAAUGUAAUCCGCGUAUAACGCAUUAUAAAACAACUUUCAACAACGGAUCUCUUGGCUCUC
rnacentral:misc_RNA from 1 species